CAUCCUCAAGUUAACAAUAAGUGUCUCCUCAGAUAAACACGAGCACACUGUUCUUUAAAUAAAUCUUUAUGGCCCCUUAUUCAAUAGGUUAUUCUCUUGCAUGCCAUGUUGCCAUUUGGAUUAAUAAAUACCGCAUCAAAUUUGUCACCUUUAAAGAUGAGAGAAUUAUAAAGAGAAAAAAGAGAUUUGUACUAAUGUCAAGCUUUGAAAAGGUUAUUUUUUUAACAUUUGUGUUUAAGACCUAAAUUAAACUGCCCCGGUCCCUUCAAAUGUUACAAAUGGAAACUGAAAUGUAAAAAGCAUUCACUUUGGUGAUCUGUAUUUGCAUUCUUUCAAAGGAGCAGAGAAUAAGUUCCCCAUAAGGGAAUGUACCUCAUGGAUAUCUUUCUGGCAAGUUAAUUCAAUCAAAUCCCUUCUCCUAUAAGGACAAGUGGUUUAAUGUUCUAUUCGGUUUAGUUCCAGAGGGGUAAUUAGCAGAGGUAAAACAAAGAUAGCGAAUGAAUACGAAUACCAAAUUCCUCCCCCUCUUUGAGGAAGAUUUGCUCCCUGGAGGCAGGUAUGCCUUAAAUGAAAGCACAAGAAAGACACUUCAGAGACACAAAAAACCUCUAAAACUGCUUCAUUCAGCCCCUGGAAGACGACUUCUGCAGAGGAGGGUCCCUGGGUAGCAUCAUGCAGUCAUAGCAGUUUCUGUGCCAGCUUUUCCCAGCUCUCCCUUCCACAGCACAGCACCUGCUGAAAGCAUGGCUUGUCUUAAAUACUGGCAUACCUGGACACCAAGAAAGUUUGCAGCAGCAAAUAGUAAGCCACAAUGUCUUGAAAAGUGCUAUAUUUUAUUCCACUGAAAUGAUGGCUGCUAUGAGCAGAAGGACAUGCAGGUAACCGAGCAGAGGGAGUUCUUGCUGUCACUGGCUAAGCCAAGCAAAACUUUUUUUUCAUUUUCUCUGUAUUUCUUCAAUGGGCUGUAAGCUAGUUCAGAAAGUCCAUGCAUAGUCUUACGAGGUUUUUGGACAUCAAGCAGAACCGUAUUUGUUGUAAGGUAAAUAAAAAGAUACGCUUUUCAUGCAGACAUACACCCUGCCCUCCUCAGUGCAUAUCACACUUCAUCACUUAUGUCUCAAAAAUUAGUCAUGAAUGUUUUUCUGUUGAGUCUCUGUUUUGUGGAAUCUCAAAACCUUAUUUACUCAAAACAAUAGCAUUACAUUGAUUUUAGAUGGCAUGAUAUUCAUCUUUGUUGUCUGCUUUCAAGCUAUUGCUCUAGGGAUAAUUACUAGACUUGUGUGUUUCAGAAAAUUGGCUUCAUUUUUUUGCCCACUGUCUGCUAUCUUCUCCUCUAAACCCCUAGAUCCUUUAUGAUCUUCUCUUUAUUUUGAACUUUUUUUUAUAUCUUCAUCUCCCCGUUAUAAGAAAUGGUCCAGCAAUUUGUGUCAAUGGUCCAGCAAUACGUGUCAAUAGAGUGUUUAAAAGGUAAAAAUUGGGACCUGGAUCUAGGGGACAGGAGAACAAAGGAGUUUCAAAAUGACUGUUAACUAUUGCACGGGAGGCUACACAAGUCUCUGACAUCCAGCCAAGAGAUUACCAAAUAAGGAAGAAAAGGAAACUGAAGGGUGACUGGAGGACAAAGCCUGGGUGGAAGACUGCGAGCCUUCAGCCCAAACGACCCCCAGAGAGACCACCGAGAACUGAUAGGCAUGUGCCAGUGGAAGGGGUCGCAUUCCGGAAACUAAUUGUAAUAACCCUGCCUUUCUUAGAAGUAGUGAUGAAUAUGUAUUAGCUUAGGAACAUAAAAACCAGCCGCCCGAUGUAACACGUGUGCGUAUUAGAGGAGUCCUGACUCCCUGCGCACCCAGCGCUGUUUAACUGCCUUUUAUUAAAUCAUAUAAAAUUAAAAAUUGACUCGGAAUUUAUAACAAUUUGGUGACCCCAAUGUGAUCCUCUUGAGUCCCGAGACUGUGAACGGCUAAGGGAGGCGCCCCCACCCUGGUUACGUUGUGGCCCUUACCGGGAGCAGUGCGGAGACCAGCAGGAUUACAAACAUAAGGGACAAGGAAAGAACAAAGAGCUCUCCCCUCCUCUGGUGCCCGUAAUUCUGCGUGUGAAGAUCCGAACAAAGAUUUAUCGUUUUCUCUCAGGAAAUCCAUCUCCCAUCAUCCCCUGAGUUGUUUUAGAAAUAAAAGACUUGCAAUAGUUCUAAAGAGAAGUUUUCCAUUUGUUUGCUCUACUCUCUCUGUUUGAUCAUAUUGGAAUCCUCCUAAAAAGAAUCAGCACAGUCCAUAACCAGAACUUAAUUGUGGAACACACACAUGGGGAAACCUGGAUCUACUUUAUUUCCCCCAAAACCUAUGGCAGGUGGUUUGGUGAUUCGUGUUACAGGAGCCGGGCCAGCUGCCGGGUUUGCAUUUCAGACUUCAGCCACCAUGUAAAGUUUCGGAGAAAUAAACUCAGUUUUGAAUGUGAUUUUCUCUUAAUAUGUAUUUGUAUGAAAUGCUUGAGGAGUAGGAUUCUGCUUCAGUUUAAAUAGCCUGGAUAGAGGUGUCUGUGUGUAAGGGUGGUGUCUUAACUCCCUCUAUAUUCAGCGGCUGUGAUUAUUGUCCGAAUCACUGCUCAAAUACAAGGUGUAGAGUACCAGGUAGGGAUUUUCAGGGUAUCCCACAUAGUUUCCAUCCACCACUGCAGAAGGGUAGGGGUCUUUUUUGGGCCCUGUAUUGUAUCUACCAAGACUCUAAGGAUGCCUUGGCUAUCUGGGGUUUCUCUUAUCCCUUUGUACACAAAAACCUAAAUGUCAGUGUAGUCUGGAGCCGCAUCAGUCCCAGGCAUUGCAAAGCAGUGUCAAUCUUCUAGGUAUCUCCAUCAUAAUAUUUGAUGGUGUAAAGAAAUGGUCCAGCAAUUCGUGUCAAUAAAGUGUUUAAAAGGUAAAUAUUGGGACCUGGAUCUAGGGGACAGGAGAACAAAGGAGUUUCAAAAUGACUGUUAACUAUUGCACCGGAUGCUACACAAGUCUCUGACAUCCAGCCAAGAGAUUACCAAAUAAGGAAGAAAAGGAAACUGGAGGGUGACUGGAGGACAAAGCCUGGGAGGAAGACUGUGAGCCUUCAGCCCAAGAAACUAAUUGUAAUAACCCUGCCUUUCUUAGAAGUAGUGAUGAAUACGUAUUAGCUUAGGAACAUAAAAACCAGCCGCCCGAUGUAACACGUGUGUGUGUUAGAGGAGCCCUGACUCCCAGCGCACCCAGUGCUGUUUAACUGCCUUUUAUUAACCCCAUAAAUAAAUCAUAUAAAACUAAAAAUUGAUUUGGAAUUUAUAACAAUUUGGUGACCCCAAUGUGAUCCUCUUGGGUCCCGAGACUGUGAACGGCUAAGGGAGGUGCCCCCACCCUGGUUUCGUUGUGGCCCUUACCGGGAGCACUGCAGAGCCCAGCAGGAUUACGAACAUAAGAGGCAAGUAAAGAACAAAGAGCUCUCCCCUCCUCCAGUACCUGUAAUUCUGCACGCAAAGAUCCGAAU